ACACAGCCUCGGGCCCCACCCACGAUGCACACACGCCCAACCCACGCGCACACACACCCAUGUUGGAUCCCAUCUCUCUCGUCUUCCUCGAUCCCCUUUCUCCACCCCACGCCGCCGCCAGAUUUCGGUGAUCCCCGCCGUUCCCCACCGCACAACUCUCCUCCCCGAGGUCACCUCUCCCUGCUCUCCAUCUCCACUGGCCGGUUUCUCUCCUCGCCCAGGAGAGUCCCGCCUCCUCACCGCCAAGGCUGCCGCCGCCCGCCGACUCGAGCGGCGCCGCCUCCUCCUCGAGCGCCGCGCCACAGACCUCGCCUCCUGCGCCCUCGCCGCUCGCCGAGCUUCCAGCUCUCCCCGUCCCAAUCGCCUCCUUCCUAUGGCAACCAUGCCACCCAGCGCCACCAGGAUGCCACCGCACCACCACCGACCUUCCAGCUCUCCAUGUCCCAAUCCUGUCCUCCGGCCGGCUGCUCCUCCCUCUCGUCGGUCAAAGGUGACAUUUUUAGCAGCCGGGGUGCUCGAUUCAUGGGCGGCGGUGCUCGAUUCGUGGGUGGCGGUGCUCAAUCCGUGGGCAGCGGUGCUCAAUCCGUGCUGGAGCAGCGGGAGGAGGAGGCCAGGGUGGAGAUCAUGGUGCGGGAGCGGGAGAGACGGUGGCGGCGGCGGUGGGGCAGCUCCGGUCGUCCACGCUCCUCGUCAGCCUCCACGACAAGAGCUUCCUCUAUAGACCACCGAGCCCGUACGCCGGUGUGAGCUUCCUGGGCUGCUGGGUGCUCGCCGUACGGCAGCAGACCACGACGCGACACAGGGGCGGUGGAGGCCGAGCUCACCCAGCUCGAGACCAUACGGUGGCAGUAGGAGACUGAGCACCAUGUGGUGUGGGCGCCGAUUCAAAAUCACUAGCGAGUCCUACUUCAACUGCAAUGCAAUGUGCGAAAGAAACAGAACUCGAGCCAAGGUGAUGGUGAUGGAAAUGAAUGAAAGAAAGAGAAGCUGAUGGAGUAGGAGGACGAGCAGCAGUAGCAAAUCAGCCUGAUGAUGACGGGGUGCGGAAGGCAAUGGUGAUCAUGCUGAUGGCAUGAAGAAGGCUAAUGACCACAACCUGGACCUUUUGGCAUUUAGAGAUGGCAAACACAGACGGCGUGGAGAUAACAACUUGGACCACCCACCUCCCUUGCCUUUUUAAUUUUGGUUGUAGUGGUUGCAUCACCGUCGCGGUCGCAAAUCAGUAUGUAGUGUGCUUGUGGAGUUGGGUCUGGACUGCAGUGUCCAUCCAGUAGGUUAGGUGUUGUUGCUGCUAGAUCCCAUGAUGCUCACCUAAGUUUUGUGUUAUGUGGAGGCCAACCUUUGUGAUCUUAUUUGCCGACACUUGUGUGAUCUCGUAUUACUUUGUGAUACAAGUUGUACGAUAUAUAUGUUUUUAUGGAUGAUCUUGUGAUGUUCUUUUUUUCC